AAAAGUAUAGUUUAACAAUAAAUAAAAACAAUUUUGUAAAUUUAUUUUACAAAAUAAAUAAUAGUGAAAGUCUAUUUACUUUUU